rnacentral:tRNA from 1 species
GCCAGUGUGGAGUAAUGGUUUGAGCACUGGACUACAACUCAGGAGACCAGGGUUUGAUUCCCUGCUUGACC